rnacentral:rRNA from 1 species
GAUGAACGCUGGCGGCGUGCUUAACACAUGCAAGUCGAACGGGAAACCUUUUAUUGAAGCUUCGGCAGAUUUAGCUGGUUUCUAGUGGCGGACGGGUGAGUAACGCGUGGGUAACCUGCCUUAUACAGGGGGAUAACAACCAGAAAUGGUUGCUAAUACCGCAUAAGCGCACAGGACCGCAUGGUCCGGUGUGAACAACUCCGGUGGUAUAAGAUGGACCCGCGUUGGAUUAGCUAGUUGGCAGGGUAACGGCCUACCAAGGCGACGAUCCAUAGCCGGCCUGAGAGAGUGAACGGACACAUUGGGACUGAGACACGGCCCAGACUCCUACGGGAGGCAGCAGUGGGGAAUAUUGCACAAUGGGGGAAACCCUGAUGCAGCGACGCCGCGUGAAGGAAGAAGUAUCUCGGUAUGUAAACUUCUAUCAGCAGGGAAGAUAGUGACGGUACCUGACUAAGAAGCCCCGGCUAACUACGUG